AUGCUCGUGGGGCGCAUCCGUGAGCUUGGUGAUGCGAUGGAGGAGAAGUACGUCAUGAAUAAGCUGCUCCGAGCCAUCUCCAAUAAGUUCAUCCACGUUGCUUCAUCGAUUACGUUGUUCGGCGACACCAACAAGAUGGACAUGGAGGAGGACAUUGGUUCACUCAAGGCGCACGAGGAACUCGUCAAGGGGCGGGAGACAGGACGUGAAGAAGAGCGGCUCCUCAUUGCGAGAGGGCAGGACUCGUCGCGAGGACGGGGUGUCGGGGUCGUGGCCGUGGCCGUGGACGCUGUGGAGGGCGCCAAGACAAAAGUGAGGUACAAUGUGACAAUUGUCGUGAACUUGGGUACUUUUCUUGGGAGUGUCCAGAGAAGAAACAAGAGAAGGAAGAGAAGGCGUUGCUCGCUGGCUACGGUAGUGAUGGACCGACUCUUCUUUGAAGUUUUUGCCUGA
rnacentral:rRNA from 1 species